CCUACGGGUGGCAGCAGUGAGGAAUAUUGGUCAAUGGGCGGAAGCCUGAACCAGCCAUGUAGCGUGCGGGAUGAAGGCCCUACGGGUCGUAAACUGCUUUUGCACGAGGAUAAAACUGUCCACUUGUGUAGGUCUGCAGGUACCGUGCGAAUAAGGGCCGGCUAAUUCCGUGCCAGCAGCCGCGGUAAUACGGAAGGUCCGAGCGUUAUCCGGAUUCAUUGGGCUUAAAGGGAGCGUAGGCGGGCGUUAAAGUCAGCUGUAAAAUCGCGCGGCUCAACCGCGCCCCGCAGUUGAAACUGGACGCCUUGAGUUCACAACAGGCAGGCGGAAUUCGUGGUGUAGCGGUGAAAUGCAUAGAGAUCA
rnacentral:rRNA from 1 species